UAGUGGCGAACGGGUGAGUAACACGUGGGCAAUCUGCCCUGCACUCUGGGACAAGCCCUGGAAACGGGGUCUAAUACCGGAUACUGACCAUCUUGGGCAUCCUUGAUGGUGGAAAGCUCCGGCGGUGCAGGAUGAGCCCGCGGCCUAUCAGCUAGUUGGUGAGGUAAUGGCUCACCAAGGCGACGACGGGUAGCCGGCCUGAGAGGGCGACCGGCCACACUGGGACUGAGACACGGCCCAGACUCCUACGGGAGGCAGCAGUGGGGAAUAUUGCACAAUGGGCGAAAGCCUGAUGCAGCGACGCCGCGUGAGGGAUGACGGCCUUCGGGUUGUAAACCUCUUUCAGCAGGGAAGAAGCGAAAGUGACGGUACCUGCAGAAGAAGCGCCGGCUAACUACGUGCCAGCAGCCGCGGUAAUACGUAGGGCGCGAGCGUUGUCCGGAAUUAUUGGGCGUAAAGAGCUCGUAGGCGGCUUGUCACGUCGGUUGUGAAAGCCCGGGGCUUAACCCCGGGUCUGCAGUCGAUACGGGCAGGCUAGAGUUCGGUAGGGGAGAUCGGAAUUCCUGGUGUAGCGGUGAAAUGCGCAGAUAUCAGGAGGAACACCGGUGGCGAAGGCGGAUCUCUGGGCCGAUACUGA
rnacentral:rRNA from 1 species